ACAAACCUCUCUCAGGACACAGCGGGGAGGCGGAGGUGGAGAGAUGCGGGCGCAGUCGGGAUGGGAGAGGACGCGAUGAGGAGGGAGUCCGCUCUCUAAGCAUGGAGAUGCUGCUGCUGAGCAGCCUGCACGUUUUUAAAAUAAGGACUUAAAAGAUUUUGCAUAUUGGGGCCUCUCUAUCUCUCUCCCCCAUAUCUCUCGCUCUCUUUUUUUCUAAAGGAGAGACUUGCAUGCAGGAUAUGGAAGAUCGCAGAAAAAAGAACAAGCAUUUACUUCUCUGCUUUGAGCACAUUCGAAAAAGAUCAAAUAAAGAGAUCACUUCAGCUGUCCUUUGAAGACUGCAAGAGUGCAUGACUGCAUUCUUCAUUACUGUUAAUGUUUAUAUAUUUUUGUACUGCUGUGCCACUGUAGUUUAUUAUGUGUCACUGAUGCUGUCACUGGUGUGACUCAGAACAUAUGAGUAAUGAUCUUUUUUUAAAGUGCUAUUAUUUUGAGGGUAGACUCCUUGGAAGGCUGUUGUUCAGACUCGAGAGUUACGGUGAAGAAUAAUCCAGCCAAAGAAUGUACUGAAAAUGGAAACUGUAUCAAACUGUAUCUCACUUUGUUUAACAGAAAAUAUUUUCAGCACAGAAAAUACAUAUUAGGUUAUGAUUUUAGUGAUUAUUAAUGAAUCAGACUUCAAUUUAAAGUGAGACUAUGUAACUUUUGCCAAACAGUGGCCACAAGUGAAAAUUAUGGGAUAAUCCUAAAUACUAGAACCUACUUUAACAGUGGAUAACAGUCAUGAAGUCAGUAAACUGACUCCGUAACAUCCAUUAUGCAGCAAUACUUACCUGAAGUUUGCUAACAUUAGCCACCAUAAGCUACUGGUCAUACCAGACCAAGUAAGCCUGUAGCAGCAUUCAUUUUAAUUGUAAUUUGUAAAAGAAUGAAUGUGCUAUUUCUUCUUUCAAAACUUUCAUAGUCUCGCUUUAAGAGUUGUCUAAUGCACACUUGGUAGACAGAUGCAUGGGAAACUGAAAUCACGCAAAAGAAAUAAAAUAAAUUGUAUUAAAACUCCAAAGAUUUGGUCACAGACCUUCGUCAGGCAUCAAUCUCUAUGGAUUUUACGAUCUGUAGAAUACAAUAGAAAAAAAGAGACUUGGACUGUUGUUUAGUUCUUCCUCCCCCUGUCUACCACUUGAACGUCUCUUCUUGAUGAAAAUCACUUACUGUAUAUUGUGAUCCAGUAUCUGCUAUUUCUACUUUUCUUGUCUCAUUGUAAUUAUCUCAUUUUAGGGAAUUCUUUUUUGGCUGAGGUGAUGUAAUUAUCUUGCGUUUGUUAGUGGUGAUUGCAGCCAGAGGUUCUAGUAUAAAGACUGUUUAAUAUUGUGAACCAGAUGCCUGACAAAGGACGGACUAUGACCAAAAUGUUGCAUUUUCAAUUAACUUAUUGUAAACAGAACGAAAGUCAACACUUUCUAAUAAAUCAUAUUUGCAAGAGCUAAGAUUAGACUGUACCCACAAAAAAAUUAUACAAAUGAGAAAUAUUUAUAACGAGGAUCGAAAUAGGAAAUAUUCAGCUAAGAUUGCUGAGUGCCCCUUCUAGACUAAAAGAGACAUUUUGAAGUCAUUGGUAAUUACAGUUUACGCACAACUUUCACCAAAGUUAGAAUCAGGAUCAAAACAAAGACUUCUGAAGCAUCUAAGAUUUCUAAUGUGAUUUCCGCUCUCCCUGCAAAUGUCUUUCACCACAUUACUGAAGAAUUGUUUCAGGAAACAACUUAUCAGGAACCUUGUAUUGUCUGCCCAGACUCUGAUUUAGUUUAUCAAAGAUGUUCACUGUUCAAAUGGUGUGGCAGAAACAUUUUUCUCCUGUUCAAAGACAGUUCUGGUUCUCCCACUGUCUGAAACCCUGUAGCAGUUUGUAGGUGUAGACAGUAUCUUUUCUUCCCUGCUAGUACAUCAUUUAUUGUAUCCUCCAGAGAUGUUACUGUUUUGUUUGCUGACCAUACUAUAUUUGUAUGCAGUGGAGUACCCAGGAGUGCUUUCAUAAAGCCUGUCAUGAACAAACUGUGUGGUUGCAUCAAAUUAAAUCUAACCUCAUGGUUUCAUUUUUA